rnacentral:rRNA from 1 species
GACGAACGCUGGCGGCAUGCCUAAUACAUGCAAGUCGAGCGAACAGAUGAAGUGCUUGCACUUCUGACGUUAGCGGCGAACGGGUGAGUAACACGUAAGGAAUCUACCUAUAAGCGGGGGAUAACAUUCGGAAACGGGUGCUAAUACCGCAUAAUAUCUUCUUCCGCAUGGAAGAAGAUUGAAAGACGGCUCUGCUGUCACUUAUAGAUGACCUUGCGGUGCAUUAGUUAGUUGGUGGGGUAAUGGCAUACCAAGACAAUGAUGCAUAGCCGACCUGGGAGGGUGAUCGGCCACAUUGGGACUGAGACACGGCCCAAACUCCUACGGGAGGCAGCAGUAGGGAAUCUUCCGAAAUGGGCGAAAGCCUGACGGAGCAAUGCCGCGUGAGUGAAGAAGGCCUUCGGGUCGUAAAACUCUGUUAUAAGAGAAGAACAAAUUGUAGAGUAACUGCUACAGUCUUGACGGUAUCUUAUCAGAAAGCCACGGCUAACUACGUGCCAGCAGCCGCAGUAA